AAGGGAAGCUCCACAGGAGGCCGCUGUCUGGGAACACACAAAUCCAAAGGUGUAAAGCUGGGAAGCACCGAUCUCACUGGCGAGCAGAUGCAACUGAUGCUGGAAGCCAGUGCCAUCUGCUUUACAUGGAUACAAGAAACAGUGAGGUUCUAAGAAGACUGGCAGCCCUUCCCUUACCCCAGGCUGAGACUACGUUUGCCAUUCAGGAGCACCACCCAGGAAUGCUUUUGCCACCUCCCACAAAACACAGUCAAGGAGAAGAGGACUCAGACUGGGACCUAGUGAGCCCAUGCCCACUCACCUCACGGGUGUGAAAUGCAGAUACAACUACCUGAAGAUGAUGGAACUAUGUCCUGAGAACCUCGACCCUAGAGAACUCUUACCUUGCUUUAUCCAAGAGCCUCACAGGUGUAAUAAAAUCUUCAAUGGGAAUUAGCUCCUGGCUAGCUUU